rnacentral:lncRNA from 1 species
GGGAAGGGAGAAAGUAAGGUUCAUCCCCUUCCCCAAACCACACGGAUAAGUGGGGAAUGAGAGAAUUUUACUAUUUUCAUUUUUACUAUUUUUUAUUAAAUUUAAGCGAAAACUUAACCCUAAACUUUUAUUUUUCAGUGUCAAAUCAACUUUUAAACUUCCUUCACUAAUUUCACCAUUUUGAACUUAAAAGUGUACG